rnacentral:rRNA from 1 species
UACGGAGGAUGCGAGCGUUAUCCGGAAUUACUGGGUGUAAAGGGAGAGUAGGCGGCAAGGUAAGCGAUAUGUGAAAGCCUCAGGCUUAACCUAAGGAUUGCAUAACGAACUAUCUAGCUAGAGUACAGGAGAGGAAAGCGGAAUUCCUAGUGUAGCGGUGAAAUGCGUAGAUAUUAGGAAGAACACCAGUGGCGAAGGCGGCUUUCUGGACUGAAACUGACACUGAAGCACGAAAGCGUGGGGAUCAA